UGUGGCAACAGAACUCCUCCACAGGGUC
rnacentral:piRNA from 1 species